GGGGGCGCGCUCUCCCCAGGAAAGCCGUUAGGCGAGCCUCUCAUUAAUGGCUAAACGCUGGUCCGCGAAAGCCAAGGGCCAGGGGCUUAAAUUUCUUUCAAAAGAGCUGUCAGUAUGAGCGUUAGCAAGCAAGAAUCAGUUAAAACUUUCAACAAAGGAUCUCUUGGUUCCGGCAUCGAUGAAGAACGCAGCGAAAUGCGAUAAGUAAUGUGAAUGCAGAAUUCCGUGAUUCAUCGAAUCUUUGAACGCACAUUGCGCCCCCUGGCAUUCCGGGGGGCAUGCCUGUUCGAGCGUCAUUUCAGCCCCUCAAGCCCGGCUUGUGUGAUGGACGACCGUCCGGCGCCCCCGUCUUUGGGGGUGCGGGACGCGCCCGAAAAGCAGUGGCCAGGCCGCGAUCCGGCUUCCUAGGCGAAUGGGCAACAAACCAGCGCCUCCAGGACCGGCCGCCCUGCCUCCAACUCUGUUUUUACU
rnacentral:misc_RNA from 1 species